rnacentral:pre_miRNA from 2 species
GUGUAGCUAUGGUGUUGGCUCGGCUCACUCAGAAGCUGAAGGAGCCAUGGCCCAUGGAUCUAGCUGGGCACAGCUUGCAGUGCUAGCUCCUGGCGUUUCUGAUUGAGCCGUGCCAAUAUCUUAGUACCCUUU